rnacentral:rRNA from 1 species
AACGAACGCUGGCGGCAUGCCUAACACAUGCAAGUCGAACGAGACCUUCGGGUCUAGUGGCGCACGGGUGCGUAACGCGUGGGAAUCUGCCCCUCGGUUCGGAAUAACAGUGAGAAAUUGCUGCUAAUACCGGAUAAUGACUUCGGUCCAAAGAUUUAUUGCCGAGGGAUGAGCCCGCGUAGGAUUAGCUAGUUGGUGGGGUAAUGGCCUACCAAGGCGACGAUCCUUAGCUGGUCUGAGAGGAUGAUCAGCCACACUGGGACUGAGACACGGCCCAGACUCCUACGGGAGGCAGCAGUGGGGAAUAUUGGACAAUGGGCGAAAGCCUGAUCCAGCAAUGCCGCGUGAGUGAUGAAGGCCUUAGGGUUGUAAAGCUCUUUUACCCGGGAUGAUAAUGACAGUACCGGGAGAAUAAGCUCCGGCUAACUCCGUG